GACGAACGCUGGCGGCGUGCCUAAUACAUGCAAGUCGAACGCAGUGGGGACGGUUUAGUAACACGUGGGUAACCUCCCAUCAGAGGGGAUAACACUUGGAAACAGGUGCUAAACCGAUACUGAUGGAUGAACCCGCUGUGCAUUAGCUAGUUGGUGAGGUAACGGCUCACCAAGGCCACGAUGCCUAGCCGCGCUGAGAGGUUGAUCGGCCAAACUGGGACUGAGACACGGCCAAGAAUCCGACGGGAGGCAGCAGUAGGGAAUCUUCGGCAAUGGACGAAAGUCUGACGGAGCAAAGCCGCGUGAGUGAAGAAGGUUUUCGGAUCGGAAAACUCUGUUGUUAGGGAAGCGGUAUCUAAACAGAAAGCCACGGCUAACUCCGUGCCAGCCGCCGCGGUAAUAC
rnacentral:rRNA from 1 species